rnacentral:rRNA from 1 species
UACGUAGGGUGCGAGCGUUAAUCGGAAUGACUGGGCGUAAAGGGUGCGCAGGCGGUUGGUCAAGACGGAUGUGAAGCCCGGGCUUAACCUGGGAGUGUCAUUCGUGACUGACGAACUAGAAUAUGGCAGAGGGAGGCGGAAUUCCACAUGUAGCAGUGAAAUGCGUAGAGAUGUGGAGGAACACCGAUGGCGAAGGCAGCCUUCGUGGGCUAAUAUUGACGCUCAGGCACGAAAGCGUGGGGAGCAAACAGG